GACGAACGCUGGCGGCGUGCUUAACACAUGUAAGUCGAACGGAAAGGCCCUGCUUUUGUGGGGUGCUCGAGUGGCGAACGGGUGAGUAACACGUGAGUAACCUGUCCUUGACUUUGGGAUAACUUCAGGAAACUGGGGCUAAUACCGGAUAGGAGCUCCUGCUGCAUGGUGGGGGUUGGAAAGUUUCGGCGGUUGGGGAUGGACUCGCGGCUUAUCAGCUUGUUGGUGGGGUAGUGGCUUACCAAGGCUUUGACGGGUAGCCGGCCUGAGAGGGUGACCGGCCACAUUGGGACUGAGAUACGGCCCAGACUCCUACGGGAGGCAGCAGUGGGGAAUAUUGCACAAUGGGCGGAAGCCUGAUGCAGCAACGCCGCGUGCGGGAUGACGGCCUUCGGGUUGUAAACCGCUUUCGCCUGUGACGAAGCGUGAGUGACGGUAAUGGGUAAAGAAGCACCGGCUAACUACGUG
rnacentral:rRNA from 1 species